rnacentral:rRNA from 1 species
UACGUAGGGUGCAAGCGUUGUCCGGAAUUAUUGGGCGUAAAGAGCUCGUAGGCGGUUUGUCGCGUCUGCUGUGAAAACUCGGGGCUUAACUCCGGGCCUGCAGUGGGUACGGGCAGACUAGAGUGCGGUAGGGGAGACUGGAAUUCCUGGUGUAGCGGUGAAAUGCGUAGAUAUCAGGAGGAAUACCGGUGGCGAAAGCGACUCUCUGGACGGCACUGACGCUGAGGCACGAAAGCGUGGGGAGCAAACAGGA